rnacentral:rRNA from 1 species
GAUGAACGCUGGCGGCGUGCCUAAUACAUGCAAGUCGAGCGAACAGAUAAGGAGCUUGCUCCUUUGACGUUAGCGGCGGACGGGUGAGUAACACGUGGGUAACCUACCUAUAAGACUGGGAUAACUUCGGGAAACCGGAGCUAAUACCGGAUAACAUUUGGAACCGCAUGGUUCUAAAGUGAAAGAUGGUUUUGCUAUCACUUAUAGAUGGGCCCGCGCCGUAUUAGCUAGUUGGUAAGGUAACGGCUUACCAAGGCGACGAUACGUAGCCGACCUGAGAGGGUGAUCGGCCACACUGGAACUGAGACACGGUCCAGACUCCUACGGGAGGCAGCAGUAGGGAAUCUUCCGCAAUGGGCGAAAGACUGACGGAGCAACGCCGCGUGAGUGAUGAAGGGUUUCGGCUCGUAAAACUCUGUUAUUAGGGAAGAACAAAUGUGUAAGUAACUGUGCACGUCUUGACGGUACCUAAUCAGAAAGCCACGGCUAACUACGUG